AAAGCACACAACAUACAAAAAAACUGGUGGACUAAGUCAAUGGGCAAAACAUUUAAACAGGGUUUUCAUUCAGUAAUAAAGAAAUAAGAAAUACAUGAAGUCUGGGUUAAUGUUGGCUGACAAUGUGGCCAGUCCCCACCCCAGGAAAUGACAUCAUUACUUUAUAAAGAAAAAUUCAAGUUGUAUAAUAGCAUUAAUGCAAAAACAGCUGCAAUAAACAGUGCUACAACUAAAUCAACAUGUUUAUAGCCAUAUCUGCUGUUCUCAUCUCUUUGGCCACAGAAGCUGUUCUGGGAGUGACACUGGAGCAAAAAGAUCUCUUGAUGACAAAAGGUGAGGACAAAACUGUGUAUAUCAGCUGCAAAGUGACUGGAUUAUCCAGCAGCAAUUAUGUCCACUGGUACCAAGAGAAAGACGGUGAAGCUCUCACAAGGAUCCUAUACGUCAAAAGUGGAAGCUCAGUGGUUAAGGAUCCUAACCAUCCUGAAGCAAAUGACUUCGAUGUGAGGAUACAGUCUGAUAAUUAUGACUUGAAGAUAGCAGCCCUGAAGAAAAGUCACUCAGCAGUGUAUUACUGUGCCAGCUGGGACGGCAGUGCACAGUGAAUGAAUUAAUUACAGUGUAAACAAAAAACCUGACGAUACACAACCACAACAGAAAAAGUGUGUGUGGAGUAGCAAAGUUUGUUAAGCUGACUCUUACAUUAGAUGUUAACCAGCUAGGCAAAAACAAACCUUUACCAUUUCAAUAAUAUCAGCAAACCAAAGCAUUUUUGGUCUUUUAUUUCUAUUUGUUACAUAAACUACAGUUUCUAUUUUAUUUUGUCUAGACGCCCAUGUGAUGGUCUGAUACAUAAACAUUUUAAACGACC